UACGUAGGUGGCAAGCGUUGCUCGGAAUUACUGGGCGUAAAGGGCGCGUAGGCGGCACUGUUAGUCAGGCGUGAAAGUCCUGGGCUCAACCUGGGAACUGCGCUUGAUACGGCAGAGCUAGAGGAUGGAAGAGGCUCGCGGAAUUCCCAGUGUAGAGGUGAAAUUCGUAGAUAUUGGGAAGAACACCGGUGGCGAAGGCGGCGAGCUGGUCCAUUACUGACGCUGAGGCGCGACAGCGUGGGGAGCAAACAGG
rnacentral:rRNA from 1 species